UACGUAGGGCGCAAGCGUUUAUCCGGAAUUAUUGGGCGUAAAGAGCUCGUAGGCGGUUUGUCGCGUCUGCCGUGAAAGUCCGGGGCUCAACCCCGGGCCUGCAGUUGGGUACGGGCAGACUAGAGUGCGGUAGGGGAGACUGGAAUUCCUGGUGUAGCGGUGAAAUGCGCAGAUAUCAGGAGGAACACCGGUGGCGAAGGCGGGUCUCUGGGCCGUAACUGACGCUGAGGAGCGAAAGCGUGGGGAGCGAACAGG
rnacentral:rRNA from 1 species